CCUAUAAAGGCCAGACCAGCUUCAGCCUUAGGCUAAUUUCUCCUAAGGGUGUGUAGUGGUUUUGAGGGUUUUUAAAAUUGUUGUUGUUAUGUUUUUAUUUUAUUUUACUUUAUUUUUAAAUAGAGAUGAGGUCUUGCUAUGUUGUCCAGGCUGGUCUCAAACUCCUGGGCUCAAGCAAUUUGCCUGUCUUGGCCUCCCAAAGUGCUGGGAUUGCAGACGUGAGCCAUUGCUAUAUGUUGGCCCUUGCUAUAUUUUAAAUAGUUAAAAAUACUGUUUUUUUUUUUUUUCUUGCUGAAUACUUACUUAGGGAAAUUGGUUUGUGUCUGUGGCAAAGGAAUUCAACAAUGUUUUCUUUCAUUUUCAGGUCACACGAUUUUAAGAAAAUAGAAGACUAUCAUUUACAGCUGGUGUGGCCCUGUGGCGGUGUGGACCCAGAUUUCAAGCACAGAGGAAGAUCAGACACUGAUGUCCCGCAUCUGAUAUGUAUAUAACACAAUUCUCAAUUAUCCUUUGAUUGUGUUUUACUCCCUUCUGUACAAUAGACUCAUUUUUAAAGCAAAAGUUGAAGAAAGUGAACAAAAACAGCAGUGGAAAGUUCAUAAAAGACAAAUGAAGAAUUCAGAGCCCAAUCCUAACCUCAAGCCAAGAAGUAAGAAAAGGAAGAAAAAAUCAAGAAACUCAGAACAGAACCCCAGCAACAUUGAACCAAGGAGCAUGGACUCUCAGGCUGUUCAUAGAUUUCAGGAUCUUUUCCACUACUUCCACAGGCAGAUAGAGGGCCAUCCCCACCACCGUCUCUACCACCACCGUCUCUUCCCAGAGGAGUUUUUACUCUUCCUCCAACUCCUUUACCUGAGCUAAGUGGUAAACCAUCAUCAUCACCAUCACCUUUGGAGACCUCCUCUACCACCACCUUUGUUGAGAGACCUACUCUCCAGGAUCCCCACCUGCUCUGUCUUAUGGAGUGAAACAGAAAUAAAUGUGUAAGACUCAAUUACAUAUGUUGAUUCUUGAACUACAUGAGAAUUCUCCUUGAAGAGAAUC
rnacentral:lncRNA from 1 species